ACUGGACUCCAUCUUGUGCCUGUACUUUUCCACAAACUGUGCUAGGGACUUUGCUUGGAACAAUGAAGUUCCCUCCACAUGGAAGAAACUAUCACAGGCCC